rnacentral:lncRNA from 1 species
UGUGGUGACGUGUGGGCCCGCCUUAAUUUUAUCAAGUAUGGGUUGGGCUGAAGUUUAGGAAUUUACCGAUAAAGGCAUACGGAACGCAGCAGCUUUCGCAGCGCUCAACGAGCGAAAGAAAAAGGGUCAUUGUAAUAUAAGACAGCCAUGACUUUCGGCGCGAUGCUGGCCUUUACCGAAUCCCCAAGCACUCUUUCUUUGCAUUUUUUGCUACAUCUUUCAAAAGUUUCUCCUAUUUGUCGCAGCAGCUUCGGUUCAGCAUAUUAAGCGAUAGUGUUGUCAGCGUUCCAUGAAGGCAGCAUAGUUUGUAUCUGGAAUACAAGCCAGUGGAUGUUUUGGUCUUCCACAAACGUGAUUGAUUGAGUGAGUGUUGUGGAGCGGCCUACCAAUGCAUGUGGAUCUCUUUGACGCUCGCAUUGAGACAGCAAUAAAGUUCUCUCACGCAAUCGACUGUGGACAGCAGACAAGAGAGAGAGAGAGAGAGAGCUCAGUCUCGACUAUAGGAAAAGGACAGCAAAAGAUGCAGACCAUUUCAGUCGGCGUCGCAGAUGUUAACUAAGCAUGUCGACUCGUCGAAUAUCGGAAGGCCGAAAACAAGAAACGGAUACUGACGGCCGAUACAGUAACUCUGAAAGCUGGAAAUGGAACGUGGUCAAGUUGCUUCACUGGGCCGUUGGAUUAACAGGCUUCGCCUACGUGAUUUGGAGUUUCGCCACCGACGAUACAAACCGCCUCCUUCCUCAGCAGAUGCGGGGUGCCUUCAGGCCUAGUCCGUAUGGAUUGCAGAGGAGGCAGG